GGACAAAUCCAUCAUCGAGACUCGCCCUCACACGGCGGUGGUCGUGGGUUCGAAUCCCACCCUGCCCA
rnacentral:tRNA from 1 species